rnacentral:rRNA from 1 species
ACUCAAAUGAAUUGACGGGGGCCCGCACAAGCAGCGGAGCAUGUGGCUUAAUUCGACGCAACGCGAAGAACCUUACCAAGGCUUGACAUAUACCGGAAAGCAUCAGAGAUGGUGCCCCCCUUGUGGUCGGUAUACAGGUGGUGCAUGGCUGUCGUCAGCUCGUGUCGUGAGAUGUUGGGUUAAGUCCCGCAACGAGCGCAACCCUUGUUCUGUGUUGCCAGCAUGCCCUUCGGGGUGAUGGGGACUCACAGGAGACUGCCGGGGUCAACUCGGAGGAAGGUGGGGACGACGUCAAGUCAUCAUGCCCCUUAUGUCUUGGGCUGCACACGUGCUACAAUGGCAGGUACAAUGAGCUGCGAUGCCGCGAGGCGGAGCGAAUCUCAAAAAGCCUGUCUCAGUUCGGAUUGGGGUCUGCAACUCGACCCCAUGAAGUCGGAGUUGCUAGUAAUCGCAGAUCAGCAUUGCUGCGGUGAAUACGUUCCCGGGCCUUGUACACACCGCCCGU